UCCGCCGGGGCCUCGCGUUGUUCGGAAUCACUGGGCGUACAGCGCACGUAGGCGGAUUUGUAAGUCAGGGGUGAAAUCCCGGGGCUCAACCCCGGAACUGCCUUUGAUACUGCGAAUCUUGAGUCCGAUAGAGGUGGGUGGAAUUCCUAGUGUAGAGGUGAAAUUCGUAGAUAUUAGGAAGAACACCGGUGGCGAAGGCGGCCCACUGGAUCGGUACUGACGCUGAGGUGCGAAAGCGUGGGGAGCAAACAGG
rnacentral:rRNA from 1 species